rnacentral:lncRNA from 1 species
UGCUGUUUUCUUUUUAUCAGCACUUUAAUUUUUAUUUUUUAUUUAUGUACUUAUUUUUGAGAUAGGGUCUCAAAUAUGCAGCCUCCACCUUCUGGGCUCAAGCGAACCUCCUGCCUUAGUCUCCUGAGUAGCUGGGACUUAACAGGUGUGUACCACCAUGCCUGGCUAAUUAAAAAAAAAAAAUUGGCCGAGCAUGGUGGCUCACGACUGUAAUCCCAGCACUUUGGGAAGCCGAGGCAGGUGGAUCACGAGGUCAGGAGUUCUCUGUGAAUAUUGGUUAUGUGGAUAAGGUAUUACUGAACCGUUGACUAAUAAUGUACCACGCCUUAGUGGACUGGCUUUCUCCUCAGAGUAGGACAGUCAUUGAUUGCAUUGAAAACAGUGGAUACCGUAUGUGUCCUUAGAGUGGAAACUGACACUUAGUAGACAGGCUCAAGGAGGGGAUCUCUUAGAAAUUUUGAUGUGGGAGAAGAUAAGGUCCCCAGGAGUAACUAGUUGCUACGUGGGAUCAAGCAGUUGGU